UAAAAGGUUCUACUAGGAACCACAAUGAGUUAGUGACGCCUUAAU
rfam:Takifugu rubripes chromosome, Chr_3